rnacentral:rRNA from 1 species
AUUGAACGCUGGCGGCAGGCCUAACACAUGCAAGUCGAGCGAGCGGCGGACGGGUGAGGAAUGUAUGGGGACUGCCCGAUAGAGGGGGAUAACUACUGGAAACGGUAGCUAAUACCGCAUACUAUCGGAUAACCCAUAUGGGAUUAGCUAGUGGGUGGGGUAAUGGCUCACCUAGGCGACGAGCCCUAGCUGGUCUGAGAGGAUGAUCAGCCACACUGGAACUGAGACACGGCCCAGACUCCUACGGAGGCAGCAGUGGGGAAUAUUGCACAAUGGGCGCAAGCCUGAUGCAGCCAUGCCGCGUGUAUGAAGAAGGCCUUAGGGUUGUAAAGUACUUUUGGCAGGGAAGCGGUAUCUGCAGAAUAAGCACCGGCUAACUACGUGCCAGCAGCCGCGGUAAUAC